rnacentral:tRNA from 1 species
GGGGAUAUGGCUUAGUGGUUAAAACCCUUGAGUUCAAUACUUGGUACCCAUAAAUAAAUAAAUAAAUGAAAGUAGUAUGCUCUUGGGGCUUUGGGUAAUAGCUCAGCUACAUGCAAGGCCCUGGGUUCAAUCCCCAGUACUGCAA